GAAACACUGACCUAGAAGAACUACUUUGAUUGAGAAGAUGUUUGGGUUUGUGUUUGUUUUUGUUUUAAAUAGACGUUCGGGGCCCACACUCCGUCCCAGUUGGUGGCGACAACGCGCCAAACUGUUUACCAACCGCCAGUCCGCUUUUAAGGGAAGAAGAAGAAGAAGAAGAAGAAGAAGAAGAAGAAACCCGUCCGGCGCCGCCAGCAGAGUUAGAAGAGAAGCGUCACGCGGAGCAGCGCCGGAGACACGCAGUGGAUGUUGUCCCCAAGUGAAAUGGAUGAGGAUGAAGCUGAAGAAGAGGUGGAGUUUGUAUCAGAAGGUCCUAUCAGGCCAGUAUUGGAAUGUAUUAAUCUACUGAGUGAUAGUGAGGAAGAAGCAGGUACACGGACAACAGAUGCGAUUGAAGAUGAGGUCAACCGUCAGAAAGCACAAGUGACGUCUACUCUGGAAAGACUAGCACGCCAAGUGGCUGAAGGGAAAAAGGAAAAAGCCGAUAAAUUCAGAGCUUUCAAGGAAAAACAAAUCUCCCAAAGAACUCAUGGGCAACAGGAAAUUGCUUUGAGCUCUGAAAAUGGAAACAGUGAGGAUGCCAAGCGUUGUGUGGACAUGUGGUUGAAGAUGCCAGGCAUUCGACCCGGAGGGACCACCGCCGGUUCAAAUGGGAGGCACGGUCAUACCUCUUACCGCAGCAACAUGUCAACCAGUCUCACCUGCCCAGUCCUCAAUUGUGGAAGAGUUUACGACAACGUGCAUCUCCUCGAAGGUCACCUAAAGAGGUUUGAUCACUCCCCUUGUGAUCCAACCAUCAACCUUAAAGGAGGCCCAUCCGAGCGCUUUGCCUGCGUCGCAUGUGGUCAGCAUUUUGAUACCGAAGAAGCGUGGAGAGUUCAUGUGCAGUCUAAGGUGUUUUCUCCCAGCGCUGAAGGCCACACCAUCAGUCAGCCCUGUCAGCUGAUCGUGUGCUUUGCCUGCCCUGCCUGCUACCUCCUCUUCAACAUCCGGGAUGAGUGCCUCCAACACAUGUCCGCCAAAAACCACUUCACACAGUCCUUCCCUAUGAAUGCAACCUCAGGAAGAGCACUGCCGAUCCCCAUUCCACAACAUGCCAAAAACCAUCUUGUCACCUUGUGCAAGGAUGUCCAUUUCAGUGUCUACUGCUCGAUGUGCUACAAAGUACUGAAUUCGCACCAGGUGGCUCAGGCACAUUUCAAUGUGUACUGCAAGCAGGGCUGUGCCGUUGCCAAGGCUAACAAAACAGUAGCCCAGGUAAUGAAGCAGUUGCAAGUGUGGGGGCAGUGCUUUCUUUGCUGUAAGAUCUUCUUCAGUCAAGAUGAAAUUGAGAGACACAGAGGUUCAACCCAGCAUGAUGUGGCGGUCAACGAAACUAUGCAAAUAGCAAUUCUGCAGUACUGCAGGUUCAGUGAAAUUCAACAUGGCAAAAGGGCAAAAAAGAGGCCGGAGAAAAGGUUGUCCACAGACCCUGACACAUCACACCACAGGAGCAUGAAAAAAAAAGAAUCCGCAGAAUUCCCGGACAAGCGGCAGAGGCUUCGCCCAAGCGAAAACUCGUGCGUUAGCAGUGCCUGUGACUUGGUGCUAGCAUGGUUCUGUGAGUGUGGUCUGCGCUUCUCAGAAGAGGCUGCAGCCAGUAACCAUCUCUUGGCUGUAAACCAGAUUUUCCAUCAGUGUGGCGUGUGUGGCAAGCUCAUGGGCGAGUCCUCAAUUGCACGACUGCACAUGAGUCGCUUCCAUGGAGGGGCACAUCUCUCCAACUUACUGUAUAGAUGCCGCCUGUGCAAAGUCGACAUGCCACGCUACGAAGACAUUCUAUCACAUGUGUCAGAAGCUCAUACUGGACACACCUACUUUGUUGAAAGAGAAGUUCCCGAGGAGCUGAAUGCAGUCAGUGAUGCCAAGCCCUCUACCAGCGGCUCUCUCAAUCUACAUGCUAACUCCAAGUCCACAGUCCAGCCUACUACAGCAGGGGUACCUGCUGCAAAAUCGAAGCCGAACUGGAUGUGUAGGAUAUGUGAGGACCUGUUUGACUCUGAAGCAGCCGUCCACAGACAUUGCAGUGAUGUGACUAGUCACAGUUUCCAGAGAUUUGUCUGCUGCCACUGCCCCCAGAAGUUCUUCAAGGCGUCCACAGUGCACAGGCAUUGUAUGAACGAGCACAGUGGGCAGAUAAAAAUGUCUCACUUCUGUGGCCUGUGUGACAGCAUGCCGUUUGACUCGGAGGGAGAAUUCUUGGAGCAUUACGAACGCCUUCAUAGUAAGGACUAUUAUUGCAUGGAUGAUGAUGCUCGGCCUGCUGUUCCUUAUGUCCCUGGUCAGGUUGAACGCAUGUGCCCGUGCAAUGGGUCAGAGAUUUGCAAGGAUGAAAGGAAGGCUAUAUACAAAAAAUGCAUGAAGAAUCUGGCUGCUGAGGGAAAAUGUCAGUAUGUGUGCGCCCCUUGUGGCGUAACGGUGUCCUCCUUUGCAAAAAUUAAGACUCACGUCCACAUGACACACACAGCCUUGGAGCUGAAGAAGACCUUCGAUGUAGAGUGCGGUGUUUGCCAGGGGAGCUUUAUGGAUGUAAAUAGUUUCCAUAAACACUACCAUUCCCAGCACUGUCCACUGGAACCGUGCUUCAGCUCUCAUGCCGGCGGGAGCGGGGAGGCGGCAGAAUCCACUGCUGCCAAAACGCCGAAUGCUGCAGAGACAAAACCAGACUUGAAUGAGAUUAACGGUGGGAAACUGGACAAGUUUUUGAGCCCAGUAAAGGCCGUCAAAGACACUGGUGCCCAUGAAGAUGAGUCGGACGAGGAGAUGAAACAUUCCUUGGCUUUAAGUGCAGAAGCGAAAGAGUCAAAAGAUCUGGAGGAAGCGCUCAGAAGAAGCCUUCUGGAUUUCUGAGUUGUUUGGCACUUGUUGGUGUUAAAGUGUUGCUGAAGAGGUUGUGUUGAGUUGCAUUUGCAAAGAGGUGAGCAGUCCAGAUUUCCAGUGCUGCAUUUGCAAGAACUACAAUCCCCUUUACAUGAGCAUCUGAUGAGCUCUCUGCAAGCUCUGGAGACCUCAGGAAUUGUUAGCCAGACUGGCACCCAUGAUCCCGAUUCCUUGGUCCAUCCGUAGCUCUCUGGAGAAGGAAUGGCUUGGUGGGUUUGUGUACUGGUGGUCCAGAUGCCUGCUUGGUAGACUGCCCGUUUCACGUGCUGGAGGAGUGCAUUCUGGGUAGGAGGUAGUUUCUCCAUUGUUCUAUUUUCUUCCCAGAAGAGUUCUUUUCUUCUUUGGUUACUUGAGUUCGAAGGACUGGAUUUGUCAUACAGGAUGACAGUCAAUCUUUCAAGCUCACUGAACUGCUGGCUAGCUACGUUUAGUUGCUGGAAGGGAUGCUUUGCCAGGUCGAUGAAUGUUUCUGUGGCAGCAUCAUAAGCUUGCCAGGCCCGCCAAGCUGACUUUUUACCUUUUCCAUUGAAGGCAGAUGUAGUGUCACAGCCGGAAUACGCAUGAAACAUAGGCAGAGACUGGAUUUAGGUUCCCCCAGGCUUUUGCACAUGCUGUUGAUGUGGUAAAAUCUGUACUUUUUGCCCAUCCCAAAAGCCACCCAGAUGUCAGUCAGGGGUUGAAUUGCCAGUAAAUCAUGACACAAGCCUGUAAGGAUGACGAUGACAUCAGUGUCCACAGUGCGCACAAGGACAGUUUUCGCUCCAUGCUCCAGUGCAUGUUGUACAUGGACCACAAUCCUAGUGUCAGCCUCCUCGUGAUUGCGAGAGUUCAUUGUGCUACCGGACCCAAAAGACGACACAGCUUGCCCUGAUGUGACAUGCAAAGCUUUGGUUUGUGGCCAGCUGAACAGUUCAAUCUUGGAUGUCAAAAAGUCAAACAGCUCCUUCUUAUUGCUUGGAUCACGGAGAAAAUCCAUCCAAUUUCCGGGCAGCUUUGUCGGGCCUGACACUUUUCUGCGAAAAACCUUGUCCUCUCUUUUCGCGGGUGGACUCCUUCAAACUGUCUGGGAUGUAUGUGUCCCAUACAAUAUCCAGCCGCUUGGUAUUAUGUAGCUGCUUCUGUAAGUAAGGGAUGAAAACCUCAUCUGCAUAGGUAUCAAAUGUGGUCACUCUCACAGUGGGCAGGCAGUGGACAAUGACUGCUCCAUCAAGGACUUGGCAGUCAUAGGUUGAGGGUGGCUCUGGUUGCCCUGGGUGCUCAAGACAUUGCAGCAGGUCAGAUUUGGUGCUGGUCAGAUGAAGUUUCAAGGGACAUCUUAAAGGUUCAGCGGUGUCCUUCUGGCAAAUGAUACAGCGAUCCCAGUUCAGUUCCAUGUUGAGGCCUCACAAACUGUCACUGCCAAAAUAUUGGAACCAAUUAAUCUUGAUAGUGCAACAAACUGAGCUUUUACUGUGGUCUGUUUAAUAACAUAAAUUGUUCAUGUAGUAUUAUAUGAUUUACCUGAGUUGUGUUCACUUUUGAUUGCAGCUCUGCAUUAUAAUCAUGCUGAGAUGUGGCUCUCUUGUAGAGUCCAGUUUCAUGUUGUGAACUCACAAACUGUCACACAAGUAAUGGAACAAAUUGAUCAAGGUAAUGCAAUUAAAUUAGUGUUUGCUGUUUUGCAUCAUACAGCUUAUUGUUAAUGAAUUGCUAUUGUAUCUACCUGAAUUAGAACUUGUUUUGUUUCAGCCCUGUGUGAGGCUCUAGGCUGCGUUAUAAGCAUGCUGAGCUAUAGCUUUCUGGCAGAGUUCAGAAUCAUGUUGAGGUUUCACUGUCACAGAAACAAUGGAACAAAUUAAAAGCCAUUCUGGCAAAAGCCAUGUACUUCAAAUAAAUAUAUCAAAACUAGAUUUAAGUAAAUAACUUUUAAGGUGGAUACACAGCAACUAUUCCAGAUUGCACCAGCUAACAUUUUUGAUAAGCCCUAGCCAGUUGCUAGCUGAAAAACAGACCUCUGUGCUAGCAUUAGCUGUUUAAUGGAGAUAGCUUAGCUAAUCAUCUUUACUUCCAUAUGCUCAUUUAGCAACAUACAGCACAUUUUCAUUGAUUACUAUUAUGAUUUUUACCUGAAUUGCACUUGUUUGGUUGCAGCUCUGUGUGAGACUGUGUUGCAUUGAGACACUGCUGAGAUGUGAUGAGUUAUGGAGGGAAACUCAUUUUGACAGUUGAGCUUAUUUUGUGUAGCGCCAUCUGGUGGUCUGAAUGUAUAGUGACACAGUAUUUGUAUAUUUGAACAACUUGAUGCUAAAAUCUAAAACAAAAAUUAAAGAGAUAACACUCUCCAUGAUGAACAGGGCAUUUUUCUCACUUUUUUUGAGUUCCCGCCUAUUGUGUGCAGGGCUAUAUGGAAGAUGUACAGGCACCAGGUGUCUUUGUACUCCAUUUUACACAUCAUUAGGGGGGGGUUUAAUAAU